rnacentral:lncRNA from 1 species
AUCAACCUGGGCAUUUUGGCUGUUGCUGUUGCCUGUUUUAACUCUCUGGUGAUGUGUACCCAGGGUGAUCAGGGAAGAGCAGGUGUUCCAGGAGAUAUUGGCUUCCAAGGAGACAAGGGCAGCCAGGGUUUGCCUGGGGUUCCUGGGGCUCGAGGGAAGGCAGGCCCCCUGGGAAAAGUCGGUGACAAAGGACCAGUCGGGUUUCCAGGACCUCCUGGCCCUGAGGUAUGUCCCACCACCUCCUUCCCACAUCCUCCCAGCCUCAGGCUUCACUUCUCUGCUGGGAUAUGAG